AAAUAGACAAGCAUAAUUGCUGUUUCUUCAUAUCCAAACUUUUCUCUUACACCCAAAGAAACACAAUAACAAGAACAAAGAACUCUCAAAGAGAAUCUUGAUAUCGUGUCAAGAUUUCUAGCUUUUCAAAGUAUUUUUUACACUGUCAGUAUAUAUUGUUAAAUUCGACUAGAUAAUAUAACAAGCCUUAUCUGAAUAGAAAAAUUAUGAAGAACAUUAUGAAGGUUGUGCUUGUGCUUUCUAUCAUUAUGUUCAUCGUCCUAACACCUACAGCUGCUCGUGGUGCUAGCUUUGGCGGGGUUAGUCGCGGAACCAAGGCUAGUAGUGGUUCUGGUGGUGGCGGCAGUAGAACCACAACUACCACAUUCAUCCCAUUAGCUCGUGCUGCGCGAAGAAGCAACAGCUCAUCAUCAUCAACUACUACCUCCUUUGGAUGGUCUUCCAUGGCUAUAGCUUCAUUUGUUUAUCUUACAUUUCUUUAAUUAAUUUUGAGCACUUGUAUAUAGUAUUUACUUAAAAUAUCUUGUUAGCUAUCCAUUAAUGUAUGUUCUUUAUUAUUUGGUAAGCAAGUGAGCAGGGCCAGCCGAAGGGUUACGCAAGUAAGGCAUAUGUCUUAGGCUCCCCAUUUUGAGGGGAUUCAGUUUUAAAAGAAAUAUGUUAUGUGUUCAUUUUUUCUUUAAAAAAUGUAAGGAUUUAAUAGUAAAAGUUUAUCAUUUUGAAAUUGAUGUAACUAUUGAGGAAUGAAAUAGUCCUCCCGAAUAAAGUAAACAUAUCUUUAUGAUUUUCUUAAAUUUGUAUAAUCUUCAUUUUGCAUUUUUACAUUCUGACCACUAAAGCAUAAUAGUCAAUCUAAAUAUUGAUGUCUUAGACUUAUAUUUAGAAUUAAAACUGUUAAGAAAAGUUGUACAAGUAGCAGAUAAUACUCUAAUCGAUACACUUAAUUAUAUAAAUAGACUUGAUUCUUUUUCAAAUGACUAACAAUUGCCUCAAUGAAAAGAAAUUCUUCAAAAUAAAAAUAAAUAAAAUCUUACAUAAGAUCAAUAAUGUCUCAAGAAUGAUUAAAUCGAUCAUCUAUAUUAUCAAUUGAAAAAUAAUUACUAAAAAAAUCGAUUAUAAAAAAUUUGGGUCUCUAAUUGUAGAUGCGCUUUAGGCCCCCAAGUAUGUCGAGUGGCCCCUGCAAGUGAGGG
rnacentral:sRNA from 1 species